rnacentral:tRNA from 1 species
GCCAAGCUAGCCAAGUUGGUCAAGGCGCAUGUCUGAAAAACAUGACAUUCAGGUUCGAUUCCUGAGCUUGGCA